rnacentral:lncRNA from 1 species
CAGGGCUUGGUCCCCAGCUUGUCCCUGUUGAGGGGUAGUGGAAACUCCCGGGCGGAGAAGUACAGGUCUUUGGGUGUGUGCCCUUGAAAGGGAGUGUGGGACUCAGUCUCUUCUUUCUCUCUUUUAGGAAGGGAGUGGUUCUGUCCUGUCACACAACCCUGCCAGGAUGUGCUGCCCUGCCAUAGCCUAAAAGCAACAGCCAACUGACUGUGGGUUGGAGCCUCUGAAACCAUGAGUGUUACCAACAUGCGAUGGUGACAAAGGGUCUGUGCGUUUAUUUCAUCCUUCAAGUCGGAUGGAUGCCAGUCCUGAACUCAAGGUUCUGUUGGCCUCACAUGCACACUCCGCUGACCUCUCCACCAAGGUCCACAGCUGGGAAGGGCUGACACCCAAGACAGGGCACUGAGGACACCACAUCCAGCACUGAUGGCGACCGGUGAGAGGGUGGUGCCGGGAGCCCCACGGCACUGCCCAGUCCUCUCCUGGGAUGGUGAGGACUUCGGGAGGGGUCUGAGCACAAGGCCACACAUUUUCCCUUGGACUGUGGGGCCCUAGCAGCCCUCCUUGAUCUGAACAUGAUGGCAGUGAUAUUGUCUGACAGUUGAGGCUCCAGCCUAAAAGAUCAUGUGGUUUCUACCUCGUUUGCCUGGAGCCCUGAGCUGCCAUGCUGGAGGGAUGUGUGCACAGGUACAGAGGGAGGGGAAAGGGACAGUUCAGUCAUUUGUCACCCCACGCCAGGUAUCAGGCAUUUAGUGAGAGCACGUCAGGCAGCGGAGUCUUCCCAGCCAUCACCUGCCAUGGACUAAAUGUUCAUGGCCCUCCACGAGCAGAAGUGGAAGCCCCAGCCUCAGUGUGACCGUGCUGGAAGAUGGAGCCAUCAGGACACAAUCAGGGUUGAAGGAGAUCAUGAAGGUGGGGCCCCAAACCCUACAGUAUGUGGUGCAGUCCAUAGCAUUUCUUCUGCAGCAAGACAACCGGAAAAGCCCCUUCGGAACCCACUACUGAGGGCCACACACGCUUGGAGUUGCUGAAGGCCACACCUGCUAAGAAAUGGAAAGAGAGAGAGCCUGAGAGAAGCUGGGCAUGGAGGGGCAAGGAAGAGGAGUAAAGACCUCUGGGUCAAGCUGGGCCAAAUCGUCUCUCAACAAAUUCCUUUAAAAAAAAAAUUAAGCCAGUUUGAUUUGUAUUAUGUCCCCUGCACUUGUAACUGGACAAAAGGAAUACAAAGGAGAAAUGGCGAAGUGGAACAUGGAAGAUCAGGACCAAAU